rnacentral:lncRNA from 10 species
CAGGAUGUCUCUUUCUCUCUGCCUCCAGGCUUCUCUGCUCCCUGAGGCUUUCUUUGUGCUUUUUCAAGUCUCUAUUAUUUCUUAGGCUCUUUUUCUUUAUGCCUAAUCCUGGAGAACCAUAAUAUCUACUUAGAUGUUUUAAAGUUUGUGAAAUUCAUCUUUGCUGGGGAAGGAGGUCUCAUGCAUUUCACCUCCCUAGUUUGAUAUCUGAAAGGAAGAGGCAGGAGAACAAAAGUGAUGAAGAGGAUUUGCAAUAACCAUAAAGAUGAUUAUUGAAAUUUCACUGGCCCUGGAACUUUCCUUUAAACCAGAAAAUAUAAAUAACCUGCUGUAUAAGAGAUUAUUGUAAACUCUGGGACAGUCUUCCGUGGCUGGUGUAUGGAGAAGCAACAGUGUGAAAUUAUUUGAAGACCAUGUCAGUAUAAGCUUCUAUAUCUUAUGAGGAGGAAGUGAAGGGGAAAUGAAAACAAUAAUAAAAACAAAAUUCCUAACGGAUUCUACUGGCGUCUUGACUUGUAAAUGACAAUCCUCCAACUGACUAAAGUCAUGAUGACAUGAGCUUCAGAGAGUUGAACAUAAACAAAGACAAACUCAUUUAGAUUACAAGAGAAGAGGCAAAAGUUUUAUUCUCCCAAAAGAAAGUGCACUCACUACAACUUCAUCAUGCUGGAUGAAAUUAGCAGAAGUGAAAUUGAAGCUGAAGAGUCCGGAAAUAGAAGGACUAUUUGGUAAUGAUUUCAGAAGGGAACUAAAAGGCAAUGAAGUGCUCUGA